GUCCAUGCCGUAAACGAUGUCUACUAGCCGUUGGGGUCUUUGAGACUUUAGUGGCGCAGCUAACGCGAUAAGUAGACCGCCUGGGGAGUACGGUCGCAAGACUAAAACUCAAAAUGAAUUGAUGGGGGGCCCGCACAAGCGGUGGAGCAUGUGGUUUAAUUCGAUGCAACGCGAAGAACCUUACCUGGUCUUGACAUAGUAAGAACUUUCCAGAGAUGGAUUGGUGCCUUCGGGAGCUUACAUACAGGUGCUGCAUGGCUGUCGU
rnacentral:rRNA from 1 species